GACGAACGCUGGCGGCGUGCUUAACACAUGCAAGUCGAACGGAAAGGCCCUGCUUGCAGGGUACUCGAGUGGCGAACGGGUGAGUAACACGUGGGUGAUCUGCCCUGCACUUCGGGAUAAGCCUGGGAAACUGGGUCUAAUACCGGAUAGGAGCCAUUUUUAGUGUGAUGGUUGGAAAGAUUUUUCGGUGUAGGAUGAGCUCGCGGCCUAUCAGCUUGUUGGUGGGGUAAUGGCCUACCAAGGCGGCGACGGGUAGCUGGCCUGAGAGGGUGGACGGCCACACUGGGACUGAGAGGAGGCCCAGGCGCCGACGGGAGGCAGCAGGGGGGAAUAUUGCACAAGGGGCGCAAGCCUGGUGCAGCGACGCCGCGGGGGGGAUGACGGCCUUAGGGUUGUAAAAUCCUUUCGCUAGGGACGAAGCUUUUUGUGACGGUACCUAGAGAAGAAGCACCGGCUAACUACGUG
rnacentral:rRNA from 1 species